UAGAUCAUUGUCGAAUCCUAAACCAAAAAAUGACUCGCGAAUAUGUUCAAUAACUUGCGUUGGGUGUCGGGGUAAAACCUGUCCCCUCUCGCUCCUUGCCCGAUCGAUCGUUGGUCGUGUUGGGUAAACCAACAAAAAUCGGCGCGGGAAGCGCAGAGAGAUUAGAAAUGGGAUUUAUUUCUCGUGGAGGGGACCGUUUGCGGAAUCCUCACCACAUACGAUAAAGGCCUCCACAAAUGAAACCUUAUACGACUCUCGGCAAUGGAUAUCUAGGCUCUUGCAUCGAUGCCCCAUUAGCAAAAUGCGAUACUUGGUGUGAAUUGCAGAAUCCCGUGAAUCAUCGAGUUUUUGAACUAUAGGAUUAUUAUUGCCAUUAGGCCGAGGGCACGUCUGCCUGGGCGUCACGCAUUAGAUCGCCUCCCAUCAUUAUUACCACCGUCCUGAAAGGGUAAAUAUUGGGGGCGGAAUUUGGCUUCCCUUUUUCCAUCGCGGCCAGCAAUAAUGUCGUUCCCUCGGCGCGCGCAUUGCGACAAGUGGUGGACGAUUUGAUCGGGCGUAAGUUGUCCCAAAGUAUAGUCGAGUAGAGAGCGUUUGGACCUUGUGUUCAGGAGUCCCUCAUCGAGGCAGACUUAAUCGACCCCAGG
rnacentral:rRNA from 1 species